rnacentral:rRNA from 1 species
AUACGUAGGGUGCAAGCGUUAAUCGGAAUUACUGGGCGUAAAGCGUGCGCAGGCGGUUUUGUAAGACAGGGGUGAAAUCCCCGGGCUCAACCUGGGUACUGCCAUUGUGACUGCAAGGCUGGAGUGCGGCAGCGGGGGAUGGAAUUUCGCGUGUAGCAGUGAAAUGCGUAGAAAUGCGGAGGAACACCGAUGGCGAAGGCAAUCCACAAGGACUGAACUGACGCUCAGACACGAAAGCGUGGGGAGCAAACAGGAUUAGAUACCCAGGUGGUCCACGCCCUAAACGAUGUCAACUGGUUGUUGGGGAUUUAUUUUCUCAGUAACGAAGAUAACGCGUGAAGUUGACCGCCUGGGGAGUACGGCCGCAAGGUUGAAACUCAAAUGAAUUGACGGGG